GCUAAAUAUUUCCACAGGACCGAUAGCAAACAAGUACCGUGAGGGAAAGUUGAAAAGCACUCUGAAGAGAGAGUCAAAAGACCGUGAAACCGCUUAGAGUAUAAGCCCAUGGUGAUUUGGAAGGCGUAACAUAUGUUUGGGAGCACUGCUUUGUAGUGGCUACCGUCUCCGUACCCAGUCUUGGGAGGUUAAGAGCAGGCUUUCAUUACUCCUCUCUGCCGAUCGGGAGUUGAGUUGGGAGUUGUUGGUCGUGCGUGUCAAAGCGUGCGGGUCUCGGCUCUCGCUCUUCUCUUGCGAUCGACCAUCCAGGGGGUUGAACUUGCGGAGAUUUUGUUACCUGCCCACCACAACACGUUGUGAGGUCACCCACAGGCUCGACUGUCGAUUGCUACUCAUUCACGGGCGAGAUGCGCUAGAGUCGUUACCCGGCAAGGUUCGACAAUGCAGCUCUGUCUGGGAUGGGUCGGGCGGCGACUGAGUUCUGGUAUGAUCCUCUUGCGACGAGUUGUUUUCUGACCAGACCGGCGCGCCACGGCUGCACCCUUUCGUGUAUCCGUGUGUACAGGUGUCGACCAAACAUCUUAAAGGCGGUUUGACAGCCCCCUGAUGAGCAAUAUCAUCAAGGCCUCCGUCGCGUUGCUGGUCUGUGUGGUGUAAAGUCCAAAGCCAUCGGUCACGUCUCGAAACACGGG
rnacentral:rRNA from 1 species